rnacentral:rRNA from 1 species
UUGCUGCAGUUAAAAAGCUCGUAGUUGAAAUUCUGCUCCGGCAGGUAAGUAUCCUUCAGGAUUCGUACCACCGGGCAUCAGUCUGCAAUCUUUUUCACGGCAUUCACUUGUCGGGCUAGGGAGCAGACGUUUUACCUUGAGAAAAUUAGAGUGUUCCAGGCAGGCUUCAGCCCGAAUACAUUAGCAUGGAAUAAUAGAAUAGGACUAGAGACUAUUUAUUGGUUUGAGGCUCUAGUAAUGAUUAAUAGGAACAGUCGGGGGCAUUAGUACUUAACAGUCAGAGGUGAAAUUCUAGGAUUUGUUAAAGACUAACUAAUGCGAAAGCAUUUGCCAAGCAUGUUUUCAUUAAUCAAGAACGAAAGUUAGGGGAUCAAAGACGAUUAGAUACCGUCGUAGUCUUAACUAUAAACUAUACCGACCCGGAAUUGGGCAAUUUAUUAUAGAUUGCUCAGCGCCGUAAGAGAAAUCAAAGUCUUUGGGUUCUUGGUGGAGUACGAUCGCAAGAUUGAAACUUAAAGGAAUUGACGGUUUUGCACCACCAUGGAGUGGAGCCUGCGGCUUAGUUUGACUCAACACGGGAAAACUUAUCAGGGUAAAAAGGUAUUGGGAUUGACAGAUUGAGAGUUCU